rnacentral:rRNA from 1 species
GUAGCCUGAUAUUGAAAUUCGGUACAGUUUGUACAGGAUAGGUAGGAGCCUUAGAAGCGUGAGCGCUAGCUUACGUGGAGGCAUUGGUGGGAUACUACCCUAAUUGUAUUGGAUUUCUAACCCGCAGCACUUAUCGUGCUGGGAGACAGUGUCAGGCGGGCAGUUUGACUGGGGCGGUCGCCUCCUAAAGAGUAACGGAGGCGCUCAAAGGUUCCCUCAGAAUGGUUGGAAAUCAUUCAUAGAGUGUAAAGGCAUAAGGGAGCUUGACUGCGAGACCUACAAGUCGAGCAGGGUCGAAAGACGGACUUAGUGAUCCGGUGGUUCCGCAUGGAAGGGCCAUCGCUCAACGGAUAAAAGCUACCCCGGGGAUAACAGGCUUAUCUCCCCCAAGAGUUCACAUCGACGGGGAGGUUUGGCACCUCGAUGUCGGCUCAUCGCAUCCUGGGGCUGUAGUCGGUCCCAAGGGUUGGGCUGUUCGCCCAUUAAAGCGGUACGCGAGCUGGGUUCAGAACGUCGUGAGACAGUUCGGUCCCUAUCCGUCGUGGGCGUAGGAAAUUUGAGAGGAGCUGUCCUUAGUACGAGAGGACCGGGAUGGACAUACCUCUGGUGUACCAGUUGUCGUGCCAACGGCAUAGCUGGGUAGCUAUGUAUGGACGGGAUAAGUGCUGAAAGCAUCUAAGCAUGAAGCCCCCCUCGAGAUGAGAUUUCCCAACUUC